rnacentral:rRNA from 1 species
AUACGUAGGAGGCGAGCGUUGUCCGGAUUUACUGGGUAUAAAGGGUCCGCAGGCGGAUUGACAAGUCGGUGGUGAAAUCCUUCAGCUUAACUGAGGAGCUGCCGUCGAUACUGUUGAUCCUGAAUACAGGAGAGGGUAACGGAAUUCCAGGUGUAGCGGUGAAAUGCUUAGAUAUCUGGAAGAACACCGGUAGCGAAGGCUGUUGCCUGGCCUGGUAUUGACGCUCAGGGGCGAAAGCGUGGGGAUCAAACAGGAUUAGAUACCCUGGUAGUCCACGCUGUAAACGAUGGAUACUCGGUGUUGGCCUGAAAGGGUCGGUGCCUAAGCAAACGCAGUAAGUAUCCCACCUGGGAAGUACGAUCGCAAGGUUGAA